rnacentral:misc_RNA from 1 species
GAAAUGCGAUAAGUAAUGUGAAUUGCAGAAUUCAGUGAAUCAUCGAAUCUUUGAACGCACAUUGCGCCCGCCAGUAUUCUGGCGGGCAUGCCUGUUCGAGCGUCAUUUCAACCAUCAAGCCCCCGGCUUGUGUUGGGGACCUGCGGCUGCCCGCAGGCCCUGAAAAACAGUGGCGGGCUCGCUGUCACACCGAGCGUAGUAGCAUACAUUCUCGCUCAGGGCGUGCUGCGGGUUCCGGCCGUUAAACGACCUUCAUAACCCAAGGUUGACCUCGGAUCAGGUAGGAAGACCCGCUGAACUUAAG